AUUGCCUAUCUGCCUUUUGGCUAAGAUCAAGUGUAGUAUCUGUUCUCAUCAGUUUAAUUCCGAGGUGUUGACUGUGUAUCCUGCUAUGCUAUUGAAUUUGUUUAUUAAUUCUAGGAGUUGCUUGAUGGAAUUUUUUGGGUCUUCCAUGUAGAGUAUCAUGUCAUUUGCGAAUAAUGAUAGUUUAACUUCUUUC